rnacentral:rRNA from 1 species
UGAGCAAUCUGCCCUUCUCAUCGGAAUAAGCGUUGGAAACGACGUCUAAUGCCGAAUACGACCUCCUUUCGCAUGAUCGGAGGUGGAAAGCUCCGGCGGAGAAGGAUGAGCUCGCGGCCUAUCAGCUAGUUGGUGUGGGUAAUGGCCCACAAGGCGACGACGGGUAGCCGGCCUGAGAGGGUGACCGGCCACACGUGGGACUGAGACACGGCCCAGACCUCCGACGGGGAGCA